GACGAACCGUGCGAACGUUGUUCGGAUUCACUGGGCUUAAAGGGCGCGUAGGCGGGCAACCAAGUCCGAGGUGAAAUCCUCCAGCUUAACUGGAGAAGUGCCCCGGAUACUGGUGGCCUCGAGGAGGGUAGGGCAUCUGGAACUAGCGGUGGAGCGGUGAAAUGCGUUGAUAUCGCUAGGAACUCCGGUGGCGAAGGCGAGGUGCUGGACCUUCUGACGCUGAGGCGCGAAGCCAGGGAGCGAACGG
rnacentral:rRNA from 1 species